UACAUGGGGUGCCAACGUUGCUCGGAAUUAUUGGGCGUAAAGCGCGCGUAGGCGGUUACUCAAGUCGGAUGUGAAAGCCCUCGGCUUAACUGAGGAAGUGCACCCGAAACUGAGUAGCUAGAGUACUAAAGAGGGUCGCGGAAUUCCCGGUGUAGAGGUGAAAUUCGUAGAUAUCGGGAGGAAGGCCGGUGGCGAAGGCAGCCUUCUGGGCCAACACUGACGCUCAUGCACGAAAGCGUGGGGAGCAAACAGG
rnacentral:rRNA from 1 species